rnacentral:lncRNA from 1 species
CCAGUUGAAAGUGUCACUGUUUUGACACAUUUUUCCUAAAAUCUUUAAAUUAACAACGAUGUGUUAGGCAAAAUAAUGGUAAAAGCCUUGUCUAAAGUUCUGUACCAUGGAGUUAAAAUUUUCAUUUCUUCCGUUCGAAAGUCGAUUCUACAGGAAAUAGAACUCAGCAGAGAACUGGCCAAAAUCCGCUAUCAAACACAGAAAACUGAAAUAGAGAGAGCAUGUAACAACAUGUCGUUGCAGGAGGCUCAACAAGUGCUCAACAUCACGUUAUUAGAUCCGAAAGAAGCCGAGAAGCGUUUUAAGUAUCUAUUUUCUGCGAACAAAGAGUUUAAAUAUUUGCAGUCUAAAGUCUUCCGAGCUAAAGAAGUUAUCGAUCGAGAACUGCUUAAUAGUCGCAACGCUCUAAUGGAGAGAGGCAAAACUAGAAAGCAACUGGGGCGAAAUGGAAAUUUUUUGUUUUUUUCGUAUUUCCUCAUUAGUGACAAAAGUGGUCUUGCCUCACAACCUGCGACUUGAGUAAAACCAUACAGUAAAACAAGUUGAAUGCACA